UACAGUCAAAUGUGUUACAAAGUUCAUCUGGAAAUUUCCUUCUCCCUUUGGUCUUUCUGUAAUUCCACUGUCAGCCCUCCUCAAGGACCCCUGCGAGAGCAAGUCAGGAAUUACUUCCCUGGGGACCAAGAGUGCCCACAGGGCUCUUUCUGCUGCUUCCUCUACUUCUGUAUUUUGCUUGGCUCUAAAUUUGUCUCAACUUCAGUGCCGGCUCCAGGUGCUGCAGUGUUCCGUGCAUCUCGUCGAAUGGCGUGGCAUACUUCUCAGAUGUAAUGAUUUCACCAGGAUUCAAAAAGUGUAGUGGAUCAGAAGACCGGCAGCUGACCACCAAACAGUGAUCAUGACCUUUUUUUGGUGCAAGUUUGACUUUGGGAAGUGGUUUGGAGCUUCUUCUCGGUCCAACCAGUGAGCUGGCUGUUGUAUGAAAUCCACUUUUCGUGGCAUGUCACAAUCUGAUCAAGAAAUGGUUCAUUGUUGUUUCAUAGAAUAAGAGAAGUUGACACUUCAAAAGGAUGCUUUUUAAAAUAUUUGGUCAGCUCAUGAGGCACCCACUUAUCAAGCUUUUUCAACUUUCUAAUUGGCUUUGAAUGCCGGAUGACCAUAGAAUGGUCGACAUUCAGUUCUUCGCCAACUUCUCGUGUGGCUGUAAGAGGAUCGAAUUCAGUGGUUGCUCUCAAUUGGUCGUUAUCAAUUUCCGGUGGCUGCCCACUACCCUCCUCAUCUUCAAGGCUCUCGCCUCCUUUGCAAAACUUCUUGAACCACUGCGCUGUACAUUAAUUAGCAGUUCCUAGGCCAAAUGUGUUGAUGUUGUGAGUUGUCUCCCCUGCUUUAGGACCCAUUUUGAACUCGAAUAAGAAAGUCGCUUGAAUUUGCUUUUUGUCUGACAUCAUUUCCACAGUCUAAAAUAAAUAAGUAAUAAGUCAUUAGCAAAAAAAAAA